rnacentral:rRNA from 1 species
GAUAGAGGUUGCAAACGUUGUUCGGAAUCACUGGGCAUAAAGCGCACGUAGGCGGUCUGUUAAGUCAGGUGUGAAGGCCCCCGGCUCAACCGGGGAACAGCAUUUGAUAUUGGCAGACUCGAGGAUGGUAGGGGUGAGUGGAACUCCAGGUGGAGCGGUGAAAUGCGUAGAUAUCGGGAGGAACACCAGAGGCGAAGGCGGGUUACUGGGCUGAUACUGACGCUGAUGCGCGAAAGCUAGGGGAGCAAACGGG